rnacentral:rRNA from 1 species
AUGACGGCGAGGAGACCCAUCAGAAGUGGUGCAUGCGUGCGGCAUGCCAUUAGAGAAGAAAGGCUCAUGUAUGAAGAACGUUGGCACCAGCCUAUGUGCCACCAUCCGCAUAGAAGACGAGGUAGUGUUACCAGAUGCGUACACAGUUCAUGUGAAGUAACCCCUCAUUGCUUCGAUGCUGAUUCAGUGGAUUACCAGUUCACCACCACCGCCAUUGAAGAUGCAGGUUCUCUUCUAGGCUUGGUGGUGAAGAAGCCAGCAACGUUGGUGCGCUGCAGCCUGCAGGUCAUAGAUGUGAAGAAGCAAGCACGAGGCCAUGCGGUCUAG